ACACACACACACUCUCACACACACACACACUUUCUUGGUAAUCUGUAAGAAGAGGAGGCAGCAGCACCAGAGAAGACACCUGAGCCGAGGGUGCAUUGGAGACAAAGAGACACUGAUGUAAAUAUUGUCUAUGCAAGGCCAAGGUCAUGCAGGAAUCAACCAAAGAAAGCUGAUCACAUUCAGAACACUGAUCCUCCCAAUGCUCCUGACACUCAUUGUGAGGUGGCCUUUGCUCCAGAGACUGUUGAGUGCAUUCACUGAACGAUUUCUCAGGUGACGAGGCAUCACCUCCUGGAACCCCAAGAGAUCUUCUUCUGGCUUCCUCAAACUGGAGAACACGUCAAAGUCUCUUCAGAGAGGUGGAGGGCAUGUGGUAGCACACAUCUGCCUAAGGAAUGUGCAGUGGGAGACUUAAACAGAAGUGGGUACUGGCCUGCAACCCUUCAAUUCACCACAAUUUAUGCCAUAGAUAUCUUGUUUUCAUUUCAAGAAAUGAAGAUGGCGGCACCAGGACUGUCCUGUCAAGCAUUUUUUAAGAAUGCUGGAUCAGCGAACUGUCUGCUUUGGUCGUACUGGCAAGAUCUCAGCAGACAGUUUUCAGAAAAGUUUUUUGAGUGGGAGACUGUGCGAUUCAAGGUGGACAAUAUAUGCAAGGAAGAGCCUUUCACCUGCCCUGCAUGCACCCCAGAGAUUAUCAUUUCAAGGAUACUGCUAGAUCUGAGGAACCGGCCAUCUUUGAAGGUGUCUUUAUAGCCAAGGAUAAAGAUGUUACCAGAUUUCUGGACUACAUUCACAACACAACCACAACGAAAAGCUUGCCAGAAAACAGGAUGUAACCUGUGAAAUGGAGUGAGGCAAAUGCAGGAUGUUGCUGUAUUAACACUAGGAGAGGAGGUGGGACAGUGCAGUACCUUCCUCUCUAGGAUUGCAGUGACUACAAAACAAUUGUGAAAAGCAGGACGCGCAGACAAUCUGCCUCUCAUGGCCAUGCGCUGGAAUCAGCAAAAGUUUAACAAUUUAGCCAUCUUAAUUACUCGUCGAUAUCAGAAGACCAAAAAGCUCUGGAAAGCCAGUUAGAAAACCUAGAGUCCAUGAAAGCCCAAUUGGCAGUGACAGAAAGCUAAUUGGAAGGCUAGACUCUGUACAUCUAAGUCAGUUUGGAGACUUCAGGAGGAGCAGAAGAUGCUUGUUGCAGAGAUGGACCAUCAUUGGAAAUCUCUAAGCUUGUGCUGAUGCCAUCAGAGAGCUGUCCUGCUUGUUUUCUAAUGAGACAAUGAAAAAUUCACCAUGUGGCCUAAGUGAAGAGGGUCUAAAAGGUCUGCUGAGCACCAUUCUCAGAGAGCAACAUAAAAUCAGAAAAAUUUGCAAGCAAGAGACUGUUACCUACAAGUUUUGUCUGGAGCAGAGAACAUCAACUUCUUGUACAGUGCUUCACCUGAUGAGUACGACAGUGACUUUGACAUUUCUGAUGAUGGUCUGUAAUCCACAAGACUGUCACCUUCCAUCAUUCUGGACAAAGACUUCUAACUGUCAAUAUAAAGCAUUUAAUAAAAUCUACUUUUCAUAACCUUA